rnacentral:rRNA from 1 species
AGAGUUUGAUCAUGGCUCAGAUUGAACGCUGGCGGCAGGCUUAACACAUGCAAGUCGAGCGGGCGAGGUUGCUUCGGUAACUGAGCUAGCGGCGGACGGGUGAGUAAUGCUUAGGAAUCUGCCUAUUAGUGGGGGACAACAUUCCGAAAGGGAUGCUAAUACCGCAUACGUCCUACGGGAGAAAGCAGGGGCUCUUUAUGACCUUGCGCUAAUAGAUGAGCCUAAGUCGGAUUAGCUAGUUGGUGGGGUAAAGGCCUACCAAGGCGACGAUCUGUAGCGGGUCUGAGAGGAUGAUCCGCCACACUGGGACUGAGACACGGCCCAGACUCCUACGGGAGGCAGCAGUGAGGAAUCUUCCACAAUGGGCGAAAGCCUGAUGGAGCAACGCCGCGUGCAGGAUGAAGGCCUUCGGGUUGUAAAGCACUUUCAGCUGGGAAGAUAAUGACGGUACCAGCAGAAGAAGCCCCGGCUAACUCCGUGCCAGCAGCCGCGGUAA